GGGUGCGAUCAUACCAGCACUAAUGCACUGGUUCUAUUCAGAACUCUGAAGUUAAACGUGCUUGGGCGAGAGUAGUAUUAAGAUGGGUGACAUCUUGGGAAGUUCUCGUGUUGCACCCC
rnacentral:rRNA from 1 species